rnacentral:rRNA from 1 species
UACGUAGGGGGCGAGCGUUGUCCGGAAUCAUUGGGCGUAAAGCGCGUGUAGGCGGCUUGGUAAGUCCGGUGUGAAACCUUGGGGCUCAACCCCAAGCCUGCACUGGAUACUGCCUCGCUUGAGUCCGGGAGGGGAGGAGCGGAAUCCUAGUGUAGCGGUGAAAUGCGCAGAUAUUAGGAAGAACACCGGUGGCGAAGGCGGCUCUCUGGGACGGUACUGGACGCUGAGACGCG